CGGAACCGGGUACCGGGCCGCAGCCGCCGCCUCGGCUCCGGAACGCCCUGCCGGCCGCGCCCGCAGCUCCCACCUCCCGCGCCGUGGUGAACGGGGUUCCUCUCUGCCCAACUCUCCAGCCUGCCCAGGUCUCCUUGAACAGCAGUGUGGCCUUCCGAUGCGUCAGCCGCUCCUGCCAGCUUUGUAUCAUCAGCAGACUUACUGAGGGUGGAUUCCAUCCCUUCAUCCAGACUGCUGAUUGAAGAUGGUGAACAAGACCGGACCCAGCACUGACCUCUGGAGAGCACUGCUAAAUGACAGGCCUCCACCUGGACUCUGCACAAUUGAUCACCACCCUCUGAGCUCUGCCAGUCAUCCAGUUCUCAGUCCACCUCCCUGUCCACUCAUCUAUCCCACGCAUCCUAGACUUUAUAACGAGAAUGGUGUGGGAGACAGCAUCAAACGCCUUGCUGAAGUCAAGGUACACAACAUCCACCACUCGACCCUCAUCCACACUGCCCUUGUUAGAGACUGGAAUGAUACUGGCUGUCCUUCAGCCUUCACACACCUCUCACUGCCCAUAUAUACCAUGUAAGGUAAGAAGCAUCUGCUUUCUCUCAAACUCCUCAGCACUAUGUUAAAAACAUCUCACAUACAAAACAAGUUUGUAAAAUAAUAUUUUACUUUUUUGUAACCUUUUUGGAAAAUGUACAGGUUUGGCCAUCAGUUAAGAUCUAUAUUUUAUACAGUGAGCUAGGCUACAGGUUUGGAUGCGACACACGGAUUCUGGAACAAAGAUGGAGGUUCUACACACAGAUGAAAUGGCAGUAAAGAAACAGUUGCUUUUUUUUUUUUUUUUUAAA